rnacentral:rRNA from 1 species
GAUGAACGCUGGCGGCGUGCCUAAUACAUGCAAGUCGAGCGAACAGACGAGGAGCUUGCUCCUCUGACGUUAGCGGCGGACGGGUGAGUAACACGUGGAUAACCUACCUAUAAGACUGGGAUAACUUCGGGAAACCGGAGCUAAUACCGGAUAAUAUAUUGAACCGCAUGGUUCAAUAGUGAAAGACGGUUUUGCUGUCACUUAUAGAUGGAUCCGCGCCGCAUUAGCUAGUUGGUAAGGUAACGGCUUACCAAGGCAACGAUGCGUAGCCGACCUGAGAGGGUGUACGGCCACACUGGAACUGAGACACGGUCCAGACUCCGACGGGAGGCAGCAGUAGGGAAUCUUCCGCAAUGGGCGAAAGCCUGACGGAGCAACGCCGCGUGAGUGAUGAAGGUCUUCGGAUCGUAAAACUCUGUUAUUAGGGAAGAACAAAUGUGUAAGUAACUAUGCACGUCUUGACGGUACCUAAUCAGAAAGCCACGGCUAACUACGUG